GAGGAAAAGUUAUAACGGUUAUGUUCAUAAUAACAGUCGUAAGCGUAUAGCUUUUCCCCUU
rnacentral:miRNA from 14 species